rnacentral:lncRNA from 1 species
AUGCCAGAACAAUUCCCAGCUGAAGGAGCUGUGAGUAUCACCAGCUUCCUUCAGUACAUCCUCAAAAAUGGACCCUCAAUGAUGGGAAAAGAUCUCCAAAGUGGGAUUUUUGCUCUGUGCCUCAGGACAGAAAUCAAAUGAAGAUGUCAAAACUCUGCUCCCUCUGCCUCAGGCAAAACUGAGCCACGGUGACCCCCAAGUCCUUCCAAAGGGGAUCGGAGUUUGUGUGGAGGAAAAACAUCUCCAGCAUCCUCCUAACUGAGGGCAGCACGAGAUGAAAGUUUAGCAGGGAAAAUCAGAGGAAAAUAAUGGUGUCAGGAUCUGGAUCUGAGAUCUGCAGCUUUAAAGGAGGGAAAAACCAGGGAGAUCCCAGCCUUGGGGUGCAAGAUGUGUUGAAAUAGAGAUGUAAAUCAGGACAGUGGUAACUCAUGUGGGUUCAGCAGUGACAUUUCCUGAAGAUAAAGCACAUUUUAAAUGCACUCUGUACUUGCUGGUAACAAAUCUUUCCAUUAGUACAAGAAAAUACAUAUUAUACCUCAAACAUGCUUCACUGAGCUUGGAGAAUAAAGAUAAAAUAAUCUUUUUAUAGCA